CUACGGGAGGCAGCAGUGGGGAAUAUUGGACAAUGGGCGCAAGCCUGAUCCAGCCAUGCCGCGUGAGUGAUGACGGCCUUAGGGUUGUAAAGCUCUUUCGCCAGGGACGAUAAUGACGGUACCUGGAUAAGAAGCCCCGGCUAACUUCGUGCCAGCAGCCGCGGUAAUACGAAGGGGGCUAGCGUUGUUCGGAAUCACUGGGCGUAAAGCGCACGUAGGUGGAUAGUUAAGUUCGGGGUGAAAUCCCAGGGCUCAACCCUGGAACUGCCUCGGAUACUGGCUAUCUCGAGUCCGGAAGAGGUGAGUGGAAUUCCUAGUGUAGAGGUGAAAUUCGUAGAUAUUAGGAAGAACACCGGUGGCGAAGGCGGCUCACUGGUCCGGUACUGACACUGAGGUGCGAAAGCGUGGGGAGCAAACAGGAUUAGAAACCCUGGUAGUCC
rnacentral:rRNA from 1 species